rnacentral:hammerhead_ribozyme from 1 species
AUCCAGCUAACGAGUCCGAAAGAGGACGAAAUGCACGUCCUGAAU